AUUUAUAUAGCGCCAAUUACAGUCAAAUUGUCUCGAGACGCUUUACAGAACCCAUAUGCCUGACCCCCAGAGCAAGCCAAAAGGCGACAGUGGCAAGGAAAACACCCUUUUAACAGGGAAAAAAACCUCGAGCAGAACCCGGCUCUAAUGUGGGGGGACCCAUCUGCCUGCUGGCCGGGCGGGUUGAGAGGGACAGAAGAGGUAGAAAGGUAGAGAUAGAGGGGUAGAGGUAGAGAUAGAGGGAUACAGAUAGAGGGAUAGAGGUAGAGGGAAAGAGGUAGAGGGGUAGAGAUAGAGGGGUAGAGGUAGAGAUAGAGAGGUGGGGGGUGGGACACAAGGACCAUAAAACACAGCCACACAUCUGAAGCAUCCAGCUCUGGGACCAGGGACACUCGGAGAAAGGACACAGAAAGAAACAGAGUGAAUGUAAUGCAAUAAUGGUAUAUAUAGUAAAUACAUAGGUAGUUAGAGAAGGGCUCAGUGCAUCAAGAGAGGUCCCCCAGCAGCCUAGACCUAUAGCAGCAUAACUUGGGGCAGACUAAAGGGACGUCAAGAGGGGAAGUCAGUUUUGCAAAUGAAAACACCAGCUCACCCCGUCAGGGUCCCCCAGUCAGCCCUAACAAUAAGCUUUGUCAAAAAGGAAGGUUUUAAGCCUGGUCUUAAAAAUAGAGAGGGUGUCCGCCUCCCGAACCCAAACUGGGAGCUGGUUCCACAGGAGAGGCGCCUGAUAACUGAAGGCUCUGCCUCCCAUUCUACUUUUAGAGAUUCUAGGAACAACAAGUAAGCCUGCAGUCUGAGAGCGAAGAGUUCUGCUAGGAUAAUAUGGUACUAUCAGGUCUUUAAGAUAUGAUGGAGAUUGGUUGUUAAGAGCUUUAUAUGUCAGAAGAAGGAUUUUGAAUUCUAUUCUAGAUUUAACAUGAAGCCAAUGAAGAGAAACCAAUAUAGGAGAAAUAUGAUCUCUCUUGCUAACUCCCGUCAGUACUCUGGCUGCAGCAUUUUGGAUCAGCUGUAGAUGUUUCAGAGAGCUAUUGGGACAACCUGAUAAUAAGGAAUUACAGUAGCCAUUUUUCAAACAUGUUGUAAAAA
ensembl:lncRNA